UGUCUCAAAAAACAAACAAACAAACAAACAAAAUUAGAAAGGUACAGAGAAAAUUAGCAUGGUCCCUGAGCAAGGAUGACAGCAAAUUUGUGAAGCAUUCUAUAUUUUU
rfam:Nomascus leucogenys chromosome 2, whole genome shotgun sequence.